rnacentral:rRNA from 1 species
UUAGGAAUAUUGGACAAUGGGCGAAAGCCUGAUCCAGCCAUGCCGCGUGUGUGAUGAAGGCCCUAGGGUUGUAAAGCACUUUCGUUGGGGAUGAUAAUGACCGUACCCAAAGAAGAAGCCACGGCUAAAUUCGUGCCAGCAGCCGCGGUAAUACGAAUGUGGCAAGCGUUGUUCGGAAUCACUGGGCGUAAAGAAUGCGUAGGCGGCUUAGCAAGUCAGGAGUGAAAUCCCAGGGCUCAACCUUGGAACUGCUCUUGAAACUGCUUUGCUAGAGUCCCGGAGGGGUUGGCGGAAUUCCGAGUGUAGAGGUGAAAUUCGCAGAUAUUCGGAGGAACACCAGUGGCGAAGGCGGCCAACUGGACGGGAACUGACGCUGAGGCAUGAAAGUGUGGGGAGCAAA